AUUGAACGCUGGCGGCAUGCCUUACACAUGCAAGUCGAACGGCAGCACGGGAGCAAUCCUGGUGGCGAGUGGCGAACGGGUGAGUAAAGUAUCGGAACGUGCCCAGUCGUGGGGGAUAACGUAGCGAAAGUUACGCUAAUACCGCAUACGAUCUAUGGAUGAAAGCGGGGGAUCGCAAGACCCCGCGCGAUUGGAGCGGCCGAUAUCAGAUUAGGUAGUUGGUGGGGUAAAGGCUCACCAAGCCGACGAUCUGUAGCUGGUCUGAGAGGACGACCAGCCACACUGGGACUGAGACACGGCCCAGACUCCUACGGGAGGCAGCAGUGGGGAAUUUUGGACAAUGGGCGAAAGCCCGAUCCAGCCAUGCCGCGUGCAGGAUGAAGGCCUUCGGGUUGUAAACUGCUUUUGUACGGAACGAAAAGGUUUGGCCUAAUAAGCUGAGCUCAUGACGGUACCGUAAGAAUAAGCACCGGCUAACUACGUGCCAGCCGCCGCGGUAA
rnacentral:rRNA from 1 species